rnacentral:rRNA from 1 species
CACGUAGGGCGCAAGCGUUGUCCGGAAUUAUUGGGCGUAAAGAGCUCGUAGGCGGUCUGUUGCGUCCGCUGUGAAAACUCGGGGCUUAACCCCGAGCCUGCAGUGGAUACGGGCAGACUAGAGGUAGGUAGGGGAGAAUGGAAUUCCCGGUGUAGCGGUGAAAUGCGCAGAUAUCGGGAGGAACACCGGUGGCGAAGGCGGGAUCGUCC